rnacentral:lncRNA from 1 species
AAUCACAUGGGGCCAUCAUUACACUUGCUACACAUCACUCUUCAUUAUUUUCAAAACUUCAAAAACAAAAUAUACAUUCUCUCUCUUCCAAAGUCUUCAUCAACCCUUCUUCAUCUAACCUAAAUAACCAGACUUGUUCAUGUAUACCCAAAAUCACCGGAGAAAAAUCGCCUAAUAUAUUCAAAAUCGCCGAAGAAAAUCAACGAUCACUAGACGACGGAGAUAUACCACCGGAGAACAAUCACCGAGGAAUUUCAACCAUCGACGCUGGAGAUAUACCUCCUAAAACCCGCCGGAGAUAUACCACCUAAAACGAGAGAAUCGCAGGGGUUUUGAUUUUUAAUAAUGUUACAUGGGGGAAAGGCAUCUACCACCAAACUGGAAAAAAGUGUUAAAGCGAAACUAAUAAGUAUUUAAUCUCAAAUUAUUAUUAUA